UGGUAUGCACUGGCUUUACUGAUUCCUCCUUCUUGACGAACCGUGAUGUCAUUAAUUUGGUGUUGCGGGAAAUCAGGACUGUUACUUUGAAAAAAUUAGAGUGUUUAAAGCAGGCUAACGCUUGAAUACAUUAGCAUGGAAUAAUGAAAUAGGACGUUAAUCCUAUUUUGUUGGUUUCUAGGAUCGACGUAAUGAUUAAUAGGGAUAGUUGGGGGCAUUAGUAUUCAAUUGUCAGAGGUGAAAUUCUUGGAUUUAUUGAAGACUAACUACUGCGAAAGCAUUUGCCAAGGAUGUUUUCAUUAAUCAAGAACGAAAGUUAGGGGAUCAAAAACGAUCAAAUACCGUCGUAGUCUUAACCAUAAACUAUGCCGACUAGGGAUCGGAUGAUGUUAAUUCUUUA
rnacentral:rRNA from 1 species